rnacentral:rRNA from 1 species
AGUGAACGCUGGCGGCAGGCCUAACACAUGCAAGUCGAACGGCAGCGGGUCCUUCGGGAUGCCGGCGAGUGGCGGACGGGUGAGGAAUACAUGGGAAUCUGCCCAGUCGUGGGGGAUAACGUAGGGAAACUUACGCUAAUACCGCAUGCGACCUUAGGGUGAAAGCGGCGGACCGCAAGGCGUCGCGCGAUUGGAUGAGCCCAUGUCGGAUUAGCUAGUUGGCGGGGUAAAGGCCCACCAAGGCGACGAUCCGUAGCUGGUCUGAGAGGAUGAUCAGCCACACUGGAACUGAGACACGGUCCAGACUCCUACGGGAGGCAGCAGUGGGGAAUAUUGGACAAUGGGCGCAAGCCUGAUCCAGCCAUGCCGCGUGAGUGAAGAAGGCCUUCGGGUUGUAAAGCUCUUUUGUCCGGAAAGAAAAGCUCUCGGUUAAUACCCGGGGGUUCUGACGGUACCGGAAGAAUAAGCACCGGCUAACUUCGUGCCAGCAGCCGCCGUAACAC